AAAAGUUCCUGUCUUGCAGACUGCCCCUUGCCUUUGGCUAGCAGAAACAGGCUUUUGUUGGAGCUUUUCUUUUUCUUUUUGGUCUGUGCCCAUUGACAUUUCCUGGUUGCUGGUUUCUUCAGCUCCAAGUGUGGAAUAAAUGAAGCAAAAGGAAAACUCGGAGAACUCACCACUGUGGUGUUUCUUGGGUCUUGAGGUUUCUAUCCAGUCUGCUUUCUUUUCUCCACCUUUCAAAGUCUUCUUACGUUUAAUAAAUAAUUUCCAGGGUUUAUGGUUGUUCUAGGAGUGGUCAAAGUACAUUACCCCAACCUC
rnacentral:lncRNA from 1 species